rnacentral:rRNA from 1 species
GUCCCAGUUCGGAUUGUAGUCUGCAACUCGACUACAUGAAGCUGGAAUCGCUAGUAAUCGCGGAUCAGAAUGCCGCGGUGAAUACGUUCCCGGGUCUUGUACACACCGCCCGUCACACCAUGGGAGUCGGAAAUGCCCGAAGUCUGUGACCCAACCUUAGGGAGGGAGCAGCCGAAGGCAGGUCGGAUGACUGGGGUGAAGUCGUAACAAGGUACC